rnacentral:rRNA from 1 species
UACGUAGGGUGCAGGCGUUAAUCGGAAUUACUGGGCGUAAAGCGUGCGCAGGCGGUUUCUUAAGUCAGAUGUGAAAGCCCUGGGCUCAACCUGGGAACGGCAUUGGAAACUGGCUUACUAGAGUGCGGUAGAGGGGUGUGGAAUUCCCGGUGUAGCAGUGAAAUGCGUAGAUAUCGGGAGGAACAUCUGUGGCGAAGGCGACACCCUGGACCAGCACUGACACUGAGGCACGAAAGCGUGGGGAGCAAACAGG